rnacentral:rRNA from 1 species
GAUGAACGCUGGCGGCGUGCCUAAUACAUGCAAGUCGAGCGAACAGACGAGGAGCUUGCUCCUCUGACGUUAGCGGCGGACGGGUGAGUAACACGUGGAUAACCUACCUAUAAGACUGGGAUAACUUCGGGAAACCGUAGCUAAUACCGGAUAAUUUAUUGAACCGCAUGGUUCAAUAGUGAAAGACGGUUUUGCUGUCACUUAUAGAUGGAUCCGCGCCGCAUUAGCUAGUUGGUAAGGUAACGGCUUACCAAGGCAACGAUGCGUAGCCGACCCGAGAGGGUGAUCGCCCACACGGGAACUGAGACACGGUCCAGACUCCGACGGGAGGCAGCAGUAGGGAAUCUUCCGCAAUGGGCGAAAGCCUGACGGAGCAACGCCGCGUGAGUGAUGAAGGUCUUCGGAUCGUAAAACUCUGUUAUUAGGGAAGAACAAAUGUGUAAGUAACUGUGCACGUCUUGACGGUACCUAAUCAGAAAGCCACGGCUAACUACGUG